rnacentral:tRNA from 1 species
GCCGGCGCAGGCUGGUGCAGCGCUGGCCGGCGGUGCCGGCGGCGGCGAACACGAUGCCGCGCACCGCUAGUUCCAGAUCGGCCGACGGGG